UACGUAGGGUGCAAGCGUUGUCCGGAAUUAUUGGGCGUAAAGAGCUCGUAGGUGGCCUGUCGCGUCGGCUGUGAAAACUCGGGGCUCAACUCCGAGCUUGCAGUCGAUACGGGCAGGCUAGAGUUCGGCAGGGGAGACUGGAAUUCCUGGUGUAGCGGUGAAAUGCGCAGAUAUCAGGAGGAACACCGGUGGCGAAGGCGGGUCUCUGGGCCGAUACUGACACUGAGGAGCGAAAGCAUGGGGAGCGAACAGG
rnacentral:rRNA from 1 species